rnacentral:rRNA from 1 species
GACGAACGCUGGCGGCGUGCUUAACACAUGCAAGUGGAGCGACGAACCGGGCUUCGGCCCGGGGCAAAGCCGCGAACGGGUGAGUAUCACGUGGGUAACCUGCCCCAAUGACCGGGACAACCCGAGGAAACUCGAGCUAAUACCGGAUGUCUUCGCCGCACAUCAGUGCGGUGAGAAAAGGAUGCUUCGGCCUCCGCAUUGGGAUGGGCCCGCGGCCCAUUAGCUUGUUGGUGAGGUAACGGCUCACCAAGGCUGCGAUGGGUAGCUGGUCUGAGGGGACGAUCAGCCACACUGGGACUGAGACACUGCCCGGACCUCCACGGAGGGCUGCAGUAACGGAUAUUGCGCAAUGGGCGAAAGCCUGACGCAGCGACGCCGCGUGCGGGAGGAAGUCCUUCGGGAUGUAAACCGCUGUCAGGGGGAAGAAAGUACGUUUCGGCGUAUUGAUCCACCCCAGAGGAAGUCACGGCUAACUUCGUGCCAGCCGCCGCCGUAAAAC